GCCUACCAAGGCGUCGACGGGUAGCCGGCCUGAGAGGGUGGACGGCCACAUUGGGACUGAGACACGGCCCAGACUCCUACGGGAGGCAGCAGUGGGGAAUAUUGCACAAUGGGCGCAAGCCUGAUGCAGCGACGCCGCGUGGGGGAUGAAGGCCUUCGGGUUGUAAACUCCUUUCAGCCAUGACGAAGCUGGCCUUGUUGGGUCAGUGACGGUAGUGGUAGAAGAAGCACCGGCUAACUACGUGCCAGCAGCCGCGGUAAUACAAA
rnacentral:rRNA from 1 species